rnacentral:rRNA from 1 species
AAAAAUGUAAUUAAUUAAACUAAAUUAUUAAUAGAUAUGUUCUUGAAAAUUAAAAAUUUUGGCGGUAUUUUAGUCUAUUCAGAGGAAUCUGUUCUAUAAUUGAUAUUCCACAAUAAAAAUUACUUUUAUUAAUUAGUUUGUAUAUCAUCGUAUAAAAAUAUUUUAAUAGAAUAAUAAUAUUUGGAAUUUUAUUAAAAAAAUAAAUCAGAUCAAGGUGCAGCUCAUAUAAAAGAAAGAAAUGGAUUACAUUAAUUAAAAUUAUGAAUAUUUAAUUUAAAAUUAAAUUGAAAUUGGAUUUGAAAGUAAUUUUUUAUUUAUAAAAAAAUGAUUUUAGCUCUAAAAUAUGU